rnacentral:rRNA from 1 species
UACGUAGGGUGCGAGCGUUAAUCGGAAUUACUGGGCGUAAAGCGUGCGCAGGCGGCGGCUCAAGUCAGGUGUGAAAUCCCCGGGCUUAACCUGGGAAUUGCGCUUGAAACUAGGCUGCUUGAGUGUGGCAGGAGGGGGGGUGGAAUUCCACGUGUAGCAGUGGAAAUGCGUAGAGAUGUGGAGGAGCACCGAUGGCGAAGGCAGCCUCCUGGGCCAACACUGACGCUCAUGCACGAAAGCGUGGGGAGCAAACAGG